rnacentral:rRNA from 1 species
UAGCGGAGGAAAAGAAACUAACAAGGAUUCCCCUAGUAACGGCGAGUGAAGCGGGAAGAGCUCAAAUUUGAAAUCUGGUGGCCUCAGGUCAUCCGAGUUGUAAUCUAUAGAAGUGUUUUCCGUGCUGGCUCAUGUACAAGUCCCUUGGAACAGGGCGUCAUAGAGGGUGAGAAUCCCGUCCUUGACAUGAACUACCAGUGCUCUGUGAUACAUUUUCAACGAGUCGAGUUGUUUGGGAAUGCAGCUCAAAAUGGGUGGUAAAUUCCAUCUAAAGCUAAAUAUUGGCGAGAGACCGAUAGCGAACAAGUACCGUGAGGGAAAGAUGAAAAGCACUUUGGAAAGAGAGUUAAACAGUAUGUGAAAUUGUUGAAAGGGAAACGAUUGAAGUCAGUCGUGCUCUUUGGAUUCAGCCGGUUCUGCCGGUGUACUUCCUUUGAGUGGGGUCAACAUCAGUUUUGAUCGCUGGAUAAAGGCUGGAGGAACGUAGUACCCUCGGGUAAACUUAUAGCCUCCUGUCACAUACAGUGGUUGGGACUGAGGAACGCAGCACGCCUUUAUGGCCGGGAUUCGUCCACGUACGUGC